AUGUUUUCUAUCUAGCCUACCAACUUUUACCACCCACUAACCACCCACCUCUAACCAAUAAAUCAUUUAUUUUUCUUAGUAUAUGAGAUAAAAAAGUAAAUCAGAGCUAUAAAUUAGUACCGUAAGGGAAAGAUGAAAUAAAUGAAAUAUUUAAAAACACUAAAUAGCAGAGACCUCAACUCGUACCUUUUGCAUCAUGGCCUAACAAGUCCAAUCAGGCAAGACGAAUUUUAGUCUGACCCCCCGAAACUAAGUGAGCUACUCCGGGGCUACCAAUGUAAUCCCGUCUCUGUCGCAAAAGAGUGGGAAGACCCCCGAGUAGAGGCGAAAAACCUACCGAACCUAGUAAUAGCUGGUUGCUUAGGAAAAGGAUUUUAGUUCUUUCUUAAAAACGCCCUAACACCUCAUCCAAGUAGAUCUGAUUUUUAAGAAUUAUUCAAUAAAGGUACAGCUUUAUUGAAGAAGGAAACAGCCUAAACCUUAGGAUAAUGAUUAUAAUACCCAAGGAAAUUAAGACUAAGUAGGCCUAAAAGCAGCCACCUUAAAUAGCGUCAAAGCUUCACCUCAAUUCCUCUCCCUUAAUCCCAUUAAAAUAUCAAAAUCCAAUAUCACUACUAAGCUAUUCUAUAAUUGUAUAGAAGAAUUUAUGUUAGGACUAGUAACAAAGAACAACUUCUCUUAUAUAUAAGUUUAAAUCAGCUCGAAUACCUCCCUGAUAAUUAAUCAACCCUGAAUUCAUAGUAGUAACUUUUUCCCCCCCCCAAAACCCUACUUUAAUUACUGUUAAUCAGACAUAUGAAUAUAAAAGAAAGAUGAAAGAAUUAAGAAGGAACUCGGCAAACACAAAUCCCGCCUGUUUACCAAAAACAUCGCCUUUUGAAUAAUAUAAAAGGUAACGCCUGCCCAGUGACUCUAUGUUCAACGGCCGCGGUAUCCUGACCGCGCGAAGGUAGCGUAAUCAUUUGUCUUUUAAAUGGAGACUUGUAUGAAAGGCUUUACGAGGAUUUAACUGUCUCCUUAAUUUAAUCAGUGAAAUUGAUCUUCCCGUAAAAAAGCGGGAAUAAAACCAUAAGACGAGAAGACCCUAUGGAGCUUAAAACCUAAAACUACUUGUAUAACCUGUCUAUUAAGAAUCACCAAUAAACAAACCUAGUCUAAGUUUUCUGUUGGGGUGACUGUGGAGAAAAACUAAUCCUCCAUGAAGAACAAACUUAGAGCUACCGCUCUAAGUAUUAGUAAACCUAACUUUAAUUGAUCCAAUCUUUGAUCAACGGACCAAGUUACCCUAGGGAUAACAGCGCUAUCCAUUUCAAGAGUUCCUAUCGACAAAUGGGUUUACGACCUCGAUGUUGGAUUAGGACAUCCUAGUGGUGAAGCCGCUACUAAU
rnacentral:rRNA from 1 species